GGGGGGGGACAAACAACGUUAAUGAUCUGAUGCUGCCUUCACUGCCUGUUGGUAAAAACUGUUGUUUGUUACCAAGUGAAACCAAACAAACAGUUUAUACAAAAUGAAGUGAACGGAUCAUUUCAGUGUUAAUAUCUGAUUGAGGUCUGAGAGGACAGAGGUCUGAGGUCUGAGCAGCUCAGAGCUGAACAGACAGAAACCAGAUUACUGGACGUAUCAGGCUCUGCUCUUUAAUCAGUUUAAUCAGUUUGUAAUGAAGCUGAUGUGAUCAGGAAGGAAAAGCUCCUGUUCAGUGUCAGAGCUGACGGACAGUAAAGAUCUGUUCCUGAUCUCAGACUCUAACACACUGACUGGACUGAGCUUCCUGUUCCUUCACACACAUCAAACAGGUUCUAAUGAGUUCUAGUGAGCUUCUUCAGACCUGUGUGGUAACCAUGGUAACCAGGGUCAGUAGUGUUAGUCUGUCCUCAGCCCAGAGACCGACCCGGGUCACAUGGAGCGCUCCCUGCUCUGCUGUGUCGGCCAUCUUGGACGCUCUCUGCCUGUCAGCCUUCGUACGUCUCAGUGAGUGAUUUGUCCCUGUGGGCUGUUAGUGGAGGGAGGCAGAGAUGAUCUGCAGGAUACAGGACUGUCUUAUCAGUCUGCUGGUUUUUCUAUCAGGACUUUAACUUCAUUAAAAGAUGGGAACACUUCCUGUGGCCCUGCAGCUCGUUAGGAGUCUGCUCCUCUGUGAUUGGCUGAUGUUCACAGACGGUGGUUAAACCUGAGUCAGUCACUGAGUGUGUGUGUGUGUGUGUGUGUGUGUGUGUGUGUGUGUGUGUGUGUGUGUGCUGACAGUAAACAAUAAGCUCAGAUGGAUCCAUCAGUCUAAUGGAGCCAUGUCAGACGUCACGAUUCUGACAUCAGCCAACCAGCGCCGGCGGGGGCAGGACCUCCUGUGAUUGGUCCAGACAGGAUAAUGAAGUCUCCCACACUUCCUGCUGAAUAAAGAACAACAUCCUCUGAACAGAGAGUUUCAUAAAGAGGAGAGAGGGAGAGCUGGGCUCUAAUCUGAUUAUCCACAGCAGCUCAUUCAGUCACAGUGUACUGUCAGGACAGGUGAGUCAGGACAGGUGAGUGAUGGAGGUGUACUGUCAGGCGUUGUGUGAGGACUGUGUCUCUGAGAUCAGUGACCUCUCUGAUCUGACCCAUGUGAUGCAGUUUGAUUAUAGAUUUAUUAUUGGAUUCUUCACUGUGUGAUUGGUCAGACUGAAGGUUUAAUACCUUUACCUGAGCGUCAGAUCACCUGAGUGAUGACUGUGCUUGUCUCUUGUUCAGUAAAGUGACUGUGAGCUCAGUGUGAGGAUCUGUUGGAUUCAUGUCAGUAAAAGUCUUCAGCUGUAGUUUUAGUUUGAAUGUUUCACUGUUUCUUUCUAAAUGUGUUUGAAUCUGGUUUUGUGGAGCAGCUUUGUUGUUGUGUCUCUGACACUGACGUGUUUUAUGGUUUGUUACUGUCUGUUGACUGUAAACUGAACUGAACCUUCUCAUGUCUGGAGCCAUCAGAUUAGCUGCAGACAGACAGACAGACAGACAGACAGACAGACAGACAGACAGACAGACGGGAGAUGAUGAACUGCUCCUUUAACGUGGUUCUCCUCCUCCUCCUCCUCCUCCUCCUGCUGUAGAUCUCUCUGUUGUUCACUGAUGGAUUUCAGUGUGGGAAGCGUUGCCCGUAGCAACCGGCCCUGAUUCUCUAGGAGCUGUAACUGUGCAGUUGCCAUGGAAACCACAUCCGCGACACGCAGCAGCUACCACCACACGACAACACGACACUAAAAACACCUCAGUUACUCCUGCCUCACUCUCACAGUUCAGAAGUCCAUUGGAAAUUUGAACAUUUUUCAAACUAAAAUCAAAGAAACUUUAAACCUGCUGCAGUUAGAAAGAAACAAACAUCAGACAGAACUCAAACGUCCAGAAACCCUGAAGAGACUUUACAAAGAUGUGAAAGUGAAGCAGGUCAGAAACUAAAUCAUUCAUCAGGUUCAAUCUGAACCCAGAUCAACCUGAGAUCCUGUGGUUAACAUGCUCACUGAGCUGAGUCGUCCUGCAGCUGACUGCAGAUCAGUUAUAUAAGGUGGAGUGUGUCAGUGUGUGUAGGAGCAGCUGUGUGUUGAUGUUCCAAAAACAGAAAGACACACACACACACAAAAGCAGGUGUACAGUUCACUACACACCAAACAUCAGGUCCACAGCUCUGUAUUGUUACUACUGACAGUCUGACCAUAUUAGUUCCCUCUACUACAACGAAUCUACUUACUGCUAAUACUACUGUCCAUACUACAACUACUACAAACCCACAUCUAUUACUGCUAAUAUUAUUAAUACUGCUACUGCUACUAAAACCAAUCGGCAGUAUAUUAGUACUAUUACUGCUGCAGGUACUGGUACUGUUAGUAAUCCACUCAAACAAACCUCUACUACUACAUCGACUAAUAUUACUGCUGCUGAUGGUGGUUCUGGUACUUGUACUCCUGCCAUAAUACCACUGCUGACGACUCCCAAAGCUCAGAUGUCUGAGGGUUCCUGAACACACCAACUACGUAUCUCCAGCAGGUGGUUUACCUGUCGGCAUGACAGUAACAGGUAGAAAGCUGCGAUGCCGAGCGGCCAGAAGCAGCAGAGCAUGGAGAAGACACUGAGGCCCAGGUGAUCUCUGGGAGGCAUCAACAGGAAGGUGUCCUCGCUCUCUGAUUCGCUGGAGUAAUCACUCUGAAAACACACACACAGCUCCUCCAUCUCAGCUCUUUGAUGAAGCAGGUCGACAUCAGAAUUCAAGAGGUGUGUUAUUCUGCUGCUGGAGGCUGAACAUGAGCCACUCAGACAGAGGAGGAGGAGGAGGAGGAGAACGAGAAGGAGGAGGAGGGCUGAAAAUGAAGGAUGGUUGACAGAGGAUGGAUGAGGAGUUGGGGGGGUCGAGGUGGGGGGGGGUUGAAGUCCUGUAGACUGUGCUGAUUUUAAGAAGUUUUUCUCGUUCACGUCAACACAGACUUUGACCCCAGCCCCUAGAGGACGUUAGAGGAACUGCAGCUCAACGGUUUUUCUCUUCACCAGCAGGAGGUGACGUAGAUAUUUCACAUGUUAAUGAAGCUCCACCUGCAGCAGAACAUGUUCCUCAGCCUCCAGGACUCAUGUUCUACGCCGAUGACACUCUUCACUUCCUGAAACAUUCAAAACCAAACUCAGUUUUUCACCUCGAGC